GAUGAACGCUGGCGGCGUGCCUAAUACAUGCAAGUCGAGCGAACGGACGAGAAGCUUGCUUCUCUGAUGUUAGCGGCGGACGGGUGAGUAACACGUGGAUAACCUACCUAUAAGACUGGGAUAACUUCGGGAAACCGGAGCUAAUACCGGAUAAUAUUUUGAACCGCAUGGUUCAAAAGUGAAAGACGGUCUUGCUGUCACUUAUAGAUGGAUCCGCGCUGCAUUAGCUAGUUGGUAAGGUAACGGCUUACCAAGGCAACGAUGCAUAGCCGACCUGAGAGGGUGAUCGGCCACACUGGAACUGAGACACGGUCCAGACUCCUACGGGAGGCAGCAGUAGGGAAUCUUCCGCAAUGGGCGAAAGCCUGACGGAGCAACGCCGCGUGAGUGAUGAAGGUCUUCGAAUCGUAAAACUCUGUUAUUAGGGAAGAACAUAUGUGUAAGUAACUGUGCACAUCUUGACGGUACCUAAUCAGAAAGCCACGGCUAACUACGUG
rnacentral:rRNA from 1 species